rnacentral:misc_RNA from 1 species
CCUAGAGUUGUAGGCUUUGCCUGCUAUCUCUUACCCAUGUCUUUUGAGUACCUUCGUUUCCCUCGGCGGGUCCGCCCGCCGAUUGGACAAUUUAAACCAUUUGCAGUUGCAAUCAGCGUCUGAAAAACUUAAUAGUUA